ACAGGUAAUCUUGAAAGCAUACCUGAAGCGGUGGAAGAGGAUCACAGAGUUUUCACUAACACAGGCGAUGAUGAAGACUGUGAUGACAUGAUGGAUGCAUUUACAACAGUUCCUGAUCCAUAUGAUCGUGUCUACGAGAAUAUACCUGUGAGAAGAUGGAUGAAGCCAGAGCUCGAGGGCCAACAUUGUUA